GGUUAUUGUGCCUGGAUUGUUACUUUAAAUAAUCUACCAGUGCCCCUGCCGAGGUUAAAUUUUGGAUCCGCACCUGGUCUGCGUGUAUCUGCCACUGUGCAUCUAUAUGUGAGACUGUGUCUAGGUAUAUGUGUGUGUGUUAUUGUGUGCAUGUGAGUGCAUGUAUAUUUGCAUAUAUAUGUAUUUAUGUAUAUUACUGUGUGUGCAUGUGGAGGACAAAAUAGGGGGGUUACUAGAC